CAUCCCUUGAAAGCAUGCUCUCUCUAGCCAGACUAGCCCGACUCGAAAUACUUGGGUUUAACAUGAAAAGUGUAAUAGCUGUAUGUUUUCGACUAUGUAUUAUGAUACAUGACAUGGGUUUGCAGAAGAAAGUACUACUAAUUUGAUAAAGCAUUAAGAUCAUAUUGUCUUUGUGUGACUAGGCCGCAUCGGCGUGGAAAUGCGGAGGAAAAAACACUGCUCGAUGCAGUGUUUUUUGAGGUAUUGCACAGCCACACGUGGCCAGAAGGGUGGUGCACUUUCAGAUUAAGGUCGGACAGGACUCGUUUGAUUUUAUGACUGAUUGCAGGAAAUAGGUUGUGGCGUGCACGGAUACCUGGGUUAGCAAUAUAUGAUAACAUUUGACCGAUAAUGAAGGAACGGACAUGCUGGACUGGUAAAAUACAAGGUGACGCCAUGCUUCUUAUGGGUUUGCUGUUUAUGUACCUUUGAACCAGGAGAUUCACAAAUAGAUUUAUUUUUACACUUUAGGAUGCAA